rnacentral:rRNA from 1 species
CAGCACCUCAAGUGGUCAGGAUGAUUAUUGGGCCUAGAGCAUCCGUAGCCGGCGCUGUAAGUUUUCGGUUAAAUCUGUACGCUCAACGUACAGGCUGCCGGGAAUACUGCAGCGCUAGGGAGUGGGAGAGGUAGACGGUACUCGGUAGGAAGGGGUAAAAUCCUUUGAUCUAUUGAUGACCACCUGUGGCGAAGGCGGUCUGCCAGAACACGUCCGACGGUGAGGGAUGAAAGCUGGGGGAGCAAACCGGAUUAGAUACCCGAGUAGUCC